UACGAAGGGGGCUAGCGUUGCUCGGAAUUACUGGGCGUAAAGCGCACGUAGGCGGUUUCUUAAGUCGGUGGUGAAAUCCUGGAGCUCAACUCCAGAACUGCCUUCGAUACUGGGGAAACUUGAGUUCGGGAGAGGUGAGUGGAACUGCGAGUGUAGAGGUGAAAUUCGUAGAUAUUCGCAAGAACACCAGUGGCGAAGGCGGCUCACUGGCCCGAUACUGACGCUGAGGUGCGAAAGCGUGGGGAGCAAACAGG
rnacentral:rRNA from 1 species